GAGCCGCUAGCUCAGUCGGUAGAGCAACUGCCUUUUAAGCAGACGGUCCCGGGUUCGAUUCCCGGGCGGCUCA
rnacentral:tRNA from 1 species